UACAGAGACUGCAAGCGUUAUUCGGAUUCACUGGGCGUAAAGGGUGCGCGAGCGGCCAAGUGUGUUAGGCGUGAAAGCCCGGGGCUCAACUCCGGAAUUGCCUUUAAAACUGCAUCGCUAGAAUUGUGGAGAGGUAAGUGGAAUUCCGAGUGUAGAGGUGAAAUUCGUAGAUAUUCGGAAGAACACCAGUGGCGAAGGCGACUUACUGGACACAUAUUGACGCUGAGGUGCGAAAGCGUGGGGAGCAAACAGG
rnacentral:rRNA from 1 species